UGGUGGAGUGAUUUGUCUGGUUAAUUCCGAUAACGAACGAGACCUUAACCUGCUAAAUAGCCAGGCCGGCUCUCGCUGGUCGCCGGCUUCUUAGAGGGACUGUCAGCGUCUAGCUGACGGAAGUUUGAGGCAAUAACA
rnacentral:rRNA from 1 species